rnacentral:misc_RNA from 1 species
CCUAGAUAGAUGGAAUGCGAGUGUUCACACAGAUUGUCUGAUGAAAUAGCGCGUAAAACCAAUCUAAGAUUGACUGAAGAGCUUGAAGUCCCCUUCGUCUAGAGGCCUAGGACAUCGCCCUUUCACGGCGGUAACAGGGGUUCGAAUCCCCUAGGGGACGCCACUUUAGUAAUUUAGAAAGGCGGUGCAUCACCCUUUUAGUGUUGUGCACUGUUUGUGCUUUACGCAAUAAUGAUUAAACCAAUUUAGUGAGUUGGUUUACUAAUAAUGCUCUUUAACAAUCUGGAACAAGCUGAAAAUUGAAACACACAUUAUUGAAAAAAUAGUGUGGGGAACUCUCAAACUCCAAUUUGAAGUGUUAUUCAAAUAGGCAGACGAAUGGCAUGGGGAACUCUCAAACUCCAAUUUGAAGUGUUAUUCAAAUAGGCAGACGAAUGGCAUGAGCGAGCAGGGUGAAAUUUGCGGCGUAGGUGCGCAGUCAGCGCAGUGUACAUAAGUACGUGAGCAUGACGAGUACCGCACAACAAAAAAUUUCGCACGGCGCAGCCAUGGCGCUUCCGUAUUAUUUGAUAAGAGACACCUUCGGGUUGUGA